UAAUAAGUGUUUUAUGGCACCUUUUAAAUCCAUAUCCACCUUGUGUGCAAUGUCGGUCGAUCUUCUUUUAUGGAGGAUCGACCAAACAUCAAUCCUUUAUUUUUAACUCUUUGUCUGAAAAAUAUUAUGAAUAAACAAUUCAAAAUA
rnacentral:misc_RNA from 1 species